rnacentral:misc_RNA from 1 species
UUUCCGUAGGUGAACCAGCGGAAGGAUCAUUCAUAAUAAAGUGUUUUAUGGCACUUUUUAAAAAUCCGUAUCCACCUUGUGUGCAAUGUUAGAUCUCGUCAAUCUUGGCGAGAUUUUUAUACAUCAACUUAUUCUUUAACUAAUUUGUCUGAAAAAUAUUAUGAAUACUUAAUUCAAAAUACAACUUUCAACAACGGAUCUCUUGGCUCUC